UCCUUAUCACUUAACCCCAUGUAACAUAACAGAUUUUGGUAUAAAAAUAAAAAUAAAUAAGAAUAGUGUGAGAAACUAUUUUUAUUGGAUUUAUAGAAGUAAAAUAUAAGUCGGAAGUGACUUGUGCUGAAAUCGGAAAGAAAACAGAAGAUCUAGAAUUUUCUGUUGGAAACGGGACAGAUAAAUUAGCAGAAAAUGCACAGUCUCAGAAAAUUAUGAAAAUUGGAGAAUAAGUCAGAAAUAUCUUUAUGAGGGUAGAUUUAAAGUUUCAUAUUUUUCUGACACCCGUAGAGUGAGAAAUAAAAUCUGAGAACUAUCUGAUAAAGAUUAUAGUUCGGCACAGUUUUCGGUGACCAAAUGGAGUCGAAACUGAAAACUUAAAAUAUAUUCUUACUCAGUACAUUAAACUGAGUCUGCCUGUCAAAUUUGAGCUCAAACGGACAUUCAGAAGGACUCCAACUGUUCCGAACUGCAAAAACUGCCCGGAGUGAAUAGUGUUUUGGUGUUGACUUGAGAGGAAUGUUGACCUCUUCUUCUUCCUCCCUCAACCAGCCAACACACACACACACGACACACACACCCGCAUGGAGAGAGAGAGAAGCUAUCCUUUCUCUCUCUAAAGAUCUCUCUCAUCUCUCUAUAUUUCUCGCUCAAAUUCGCGGCGUUGGCGGAGGAGAGGCUCGCGAACGCGUUGGGAGCGACGGAUCAAGCUUUCGUGCGCCCGUUGGAGCAGCGUGUUUUCGUCGCGGCGUUCAUAUUGAGGUAAGCUUUUAGGAUUUGGCUUAAUCCUUAGUUUUAAGUGUUCUAAUAGCCUCUAAUGAGCAUCCUAAACAUAUUUGCUCUAUUUAAUUUGGAUUAUUUCGAGAUUAAUUCAUGCUAGGCUUAGAAAAUGGGGUUUUGUAAAAUAUGAGGGUUUGAUCUAAUUUGACCCUCCGUAAACCAAAUUGCUAGGUAAACGAACGCGUUGGCGAAGACGGUUCGGCGAUUCGUCGAGCCGUUGCGAAGUUAUUAAAGAAACAGACGUUUAGGCUUCGUUUCCGCCUGGAGGGCCGAGGCGACAUCGUAAACCCAUGAAAAUGGAUUUGAAGCAUCGUGGCACAUAACCAAAGACCUUUAAUUUUCGGAUCGUGAAUUGGAGGCCGUUCGGGUGGUCGCGCGAGAGAUCGGGCCAAACCGGGUGCCGGGUGCCGCGGGAGGCCGAUUGCAAGUGUCGACAAGCAAUCGGAAAGCGAUUUGAGGUGGGUUGUGCUUACCGAAGCGACUAGGUCGCCUGUAUGUCUAAGAGAAAUGAGAUUUCAUAUUGAUGCAUGUUGACAUAUAAUAUAAAAUGCUAGAGGAAUGCAUAUUGACA
rnacentral:lncRNA from 1 species